ncrna:unclassified sequences DTF3800-XI RNA
GGGGCUGGCCGCAAGGAUCGGGUCCUACCACGGCGAGGAAAUACCUC